GCUUUGUUGCCUCUUGCUAACAGCAUGCCUGUCACCAUUCUAGGCACAUGUCGGCGUUUAUAGUGUGUUUCUUAGGUUAUCCUUGCUGCUGCAUUUUCAAACGAGAGCAAACUGUGCCCCUUAUUUAUUUAUUUAGAGACAGGGCCUCAUUUACGUAGACCAGGAUGACCUUGAAUUUAUAGAGACCCGUCAGCCUCUGCUUUCCGAUUGCUGGGGUUAAAGGUGUGCGCCAUCUUGCCUGGCCCUCAUUCCUUCCGGCUCCUAAUGAUCAAGAUUGUCUACUUAAGCUUGUUGCUGUUUACUCAAACUGGACCUGUUACAGAAAUAAAAAGAUAGAGAAAAAGUAGCAUUUCUGUACUGAGAAAUACUGAGAGAAAUGGAGAAGCCCAGGGAAGCCUUCCAUGCGGGCAGCCUUCAGAAGAAGCGAUCAGAAAGGCUGAGCCUGGAGGCGAAUCGUGAAGGGAGCGGAAAGGUCCUUCCCCAGGUGGGGUUGGAGGAAAGGCGGCUCUCGGCAUCCACAAGGAGACUGGCAGUGUCACAGCACAGGACACUAAUUCAGAAAGAGAGGAAUCCGAGAGGGAUCAAGCCAAAAGAGUCUGAAAGUUGUGUGAGAGGUGAAGAACUGAACUAAAAAAAAAAUGUGUGCAUGGAUGGAUCCGUCAGUCUUGCACCACUGAGGUAACGCCCGCCAUGCAUUACUUACUAAGUAAAGGAAUUAGCUUUGGCUCAUUGUUCUAGA